GGCCCAAUGGUCUAGUAGUAUGAUUCGCGCUUCGGGGGCUCCAGUGUGCGCGAGGUCCCGGGUUCAAUUCCCGGUUGGGCCC